UACGGAGGGUGCAAGCGUUAUCCGGAUUUACUGGGUUUAAAGGGUGCGUAGGUGGGCAGGUAAGUCAGUGGUGAAAUCUCCGAGCUUAACUCGGAAACUGCCAUUGAUACUAUCUGUCUUGAAUUAUCUGGAGGUGAGCGGAAUAUGUCAUGUAGCGGUGAAAUGCUUAGAUAUGACAUAGAACACCAAUUGCGAAGGCAGCUUACUACCCGAAUAUUGACACUGAGGCACGAAAGCGUGGGGAUCAAACAGG
rnacentral:rRNA from 1 species